CUCCAUUGACUACAACCCUCUGUUGCCUGUCACUCAGCCACUGCCUUACCCAUUUAACAAUAUUGGAAUCCAAACUUAAAGAUUGCAGUUUAUUGAUAAGCCUUCUAUGUGCAACAGUGUCAAAAGCCUUACUGAAAUCUAGGUAAGCAAUGUCUACUGCACCACCCUGAUCUAUAAGUUUAGUUACCCACUCAAAAUAAUAAUAAGUUAGAUUAGUUUGGCAUGAUCUCCCUGAAGUAAACCCAUGUUGUCUCUGAUCUUGAAAUCCAUGUGAUUUUAGAUGAAAACCAUGUUAAAGGAUAGGAUCUUGAACCUUACUUUCCCCACUACUGAAGUAAGGCUUACUGGCCUCUAGUUGCCCGACUCCUCCCUACUACCUUUCUUUUGAAUAGGCACAACAUUCGCUAACUUCCACUCUUCUGGGACUACACCUGUUAACAAUGAUUGGUUAAAUAAAUCUGUUAAUGGUUUUGCUAGUACACCACUAAGCUCUUUUAAUAAUUGGGUGUAUUCCAUCAGGCCCCAUCAACAGAUUUGUCUUUACUUUAGACAGUUUUUUUUUUUUUUUUUUAAAUAAGUUACCAAAUGCUACCUUUUUAAUGGCAACAUCUGCAGAGUAUCAGAGUGGUUUCUUAAAGGUUUUGCUUUUAUGGACAAUCCCAAUGCAUUUUUCUGUUGCCUUCAGCAGUGCAACAAAAAAAAAAUAUAUAUAUAUUUCUUUUGGACUCAAUUUAGAUUGAUCCAGUCUGAUCAUGACUCCUUUACACAUAUUCUAGUUUUAGAGUCUGUCAGAUAUUACUGUACAUGAAAG